GUGGGGAAUAUUGGGCAAUGGGGGAAACCCUGACCCAGCAACGCCGCGUGAGUGAAGAAGGCCUUCGGGUUGUAAAGCUCUGUCAUUAGGGAAGAAGAAGUGACGGUACCUAAUGAGGAAGCCCCGGCUAACUACGUGCCAGCAGCCGCGGUAAUACGUAGGGGGCGAGCGUUGUCCGGAAUUACUGGGCGUAAAGGGUGCGUAGGCGGCGUGUUAAGUUGGAUGUGAAAUACCCGGGCUUAACCUGGGGGGUGCAUUCGAUACUGGCAGGCUAGAGUGCAGGAGAGGGAAGCGGAAUUCCUAGUGUAGCGGUGAAAUGCGUAGAUAUUAGGAGGAACACCAGUGGCGAAGGCGGCUUUCUGGACUGUAACUGACGCUGAUGCACGAAAGCGUGGGGAGCAAACAGGAUUAGAAACCCGUGUAGUCC
rnacentral:rRNA from 1 species